CCCUUAGAUGUCCUGGGCUGCACGCGCGCUACACUGAUGUGUCCAGUAAGCACCUAACCUCUUCCGAAAGGAACGGGUAACCUUUGCAAAGCACAUCGUGAUGGGGAUAGAUUAUUGCAAUUAUUAGUCUUGAACGAGGAAUUCCUAGUAAGCACAAGUCAUCAGCUUGUGUUGAUUACGUCCCUGCCCUUUGUACACACCGCCCGUCGCUCCUACCGAUUGAAUGUUCCGGUGAGCUCUUCGGACUGCGCGGUCUGCAGUUUCUGCGUUCCGUGCGGAAAGUUGCGCAAACCUUAACAUUUAGAUGAAGGAGAAGUCGUAACA
rnacentral:rRNA from 1 species